UACAUUUCGACCAUCGCCAGCUCAGACACAAUAUUUCAUUCGCAACAGACAUGUGUAUUGUGCGUGUGUGCGUGCACCCCAAAUUUAGCGUGUCUAAUGAGCAAUUCAAAAGUUUGCAUUUUCAUUUUCGUUUUCCCUUUUAAGUUUUCGUUUUUCCGCGCACUUUCCACGCAUCGUGUUGUUGUCAUCUUGAACAGACCCUCGUUCGCCUACUAGACGCCCAGUUGACAGCUUGAGAGCUAAAUUUUCCAACGCUGCGCGCUACUUGGGAUCAUCUCGGUCAGAGCUAAUAGGCCUCCGACUCAGAUGCGAAAAUAGUUUUCCAACCCACAGCACCCACUCCCUGCCCUGCCUUGCCUCCUGCUAGCAUCUCGAGUGUCUGAUGGGCGUCCGGGCGUCUGCUUGGUCGGGGAAGUAGGCGGGCGGUGGUAUGGUGUCGUGGUGCACGGAAGCGACUCUUGUACGCUCUUGGCAAUGCUUGAAAUGUGCUUGUGGCACAGUGAAAACUCGUCCAGUUGGCUAAAAGCUUAAGUAAUUAAAGAGCUGCAGGCAAUCGUGAGCUACAACAGAAGCAGUCACAGCAGAAAAUGUGGCGGGAUGGGCGGUCAAAGGGUUCAGGAAAGUACAUCUAAUAAAUUAAAUUUUGGUAGCAUGUUCGUGUAGCGAAUGCAAAAGCUAAAAAAAUAAAAAUUAAAAAAAUUGUAUAACAAUAAAUAAUUAAAUUUAACAAAUGAAAAGUGUUAACAUUCGCAACAAGUUUAAGCCUUGAUAUAAGCUGGCAAGUCAUGCAAAGAUUUUUCAAAUUAUAUUCACAUUUUGAAUUGAAAACAUUUUAUAUGUUAUAAACUUUUUGUACCAACUGGGAGUUCAAUAUCAUUUAUUGUCAGAGUCUUCACUGUACUUUAAUAAAGCACAACGUCUGCGCUAAAAUUUUA